rnacentral:lncRNA from 1 species
UCCUCCUAUGGGUGUUGAGUCCUCCUAUGAGUGUUGAGUCCUCCUAUGGGUGUUGAGUCCUCCUAUGGGGGUCGUUGGGUCCUCCAAGGGGUUUUGAAUGCUCCUGUGGGUGUUGAGUUGUUCUAUGGGAGUUGUUGGUCCUCCUAUGGGUGUUGAGUCCUCUUAUGGGGGUUGUUGGGUCCUCCAGUGGGUUUUGAGUUGUUCUAUGGGGGUUGUUGGGUCCUCCGAGGGGUUUUGAGUCGUCCUGUGGGUGUUGGGUACUCCUAUGGGCGUCGGUGGGUCCUCCAAGGGGGUUUGGAGUCUUUCUAUGGGUGUUGAGUUCUCCUAUGGGGGUCGUUGGUCCUCCAAGGGGUUUGGAGUCCUCCUACGGGGGGUUGUUGAGUCCUCCAACAGGUUUUGAGUCCUCCUAUGGGGGUCAUUAGAUCCUCCUAUGGGUGUUGAGUCCUCCAGCGGGGGUCAUUGGGUCCUCCAACAGGUUUUGAGUCCUCCUAUGGGGGUCAUUGGAUCCUUCUAUGGGUGUUGAGUCCUCCAGCGGGGGUCGUUGAGUCCUCCUAUGGGUUUUGAGUCCUCCUACGGGGGGUUGUUGAGUCCUCCAACGGGUUUUGAGUCCUCCUAUGGGGGUUGUUGGGUCCUCCUGUGGGUGUUGAGUUGUUCUAUGGGAGUUGUUGGGUCCUCCUAUGGCUUUUGAGUCCUCCUAUGGGGGUCGUUGAGUCCUCCAACGGCUGCCGCCUCCUCCUAUGGGUGUCGCUGAGUCCUCCAACACCUCCGGAAGUCCUCCAACCCCCCGUCUUUCCCCUGACAGGGUAGAAAAGAGAAAGUGGAUUCCAACCAGGAACCGUUUGCACACCCACCUCCAGGCUCCAUCCCCCAGACCUUCGAGGAGGCUGUGACGUCACUCAGGCCCUCGGCUAUCAUUGGUGUAGCAGGAGCCGGCAGACUCUUCACUCCUUCAGUCCUCCGCAAGAUGGCCGCCAUCAACGACCGUCCAAUCAUCUUCGCCCUCAGCAACCCCACAGCCAAAGCUGAGUGUACAGCCGAAGAGGCCUACACCCUAACAGAGGUAAACCCUCCACAUUUUCGGGCUGUUUUUUGGCCUCUGGGAGGACUUGCAGGGUGUUGGAGGUCCUCCAGCAAGUCCUCCAGCUACCCCAGGAGGACUUAUGGGGUGUUGGAGGACCUCCAAGAGACCUUUUGGGGUGUUGAAGGUCCUCCAAGAAACCUUUUGGGGUGUUGGAGGUCCUCCAGCAAGUCCUCCAGCUACAACAGGAAGACUUAUGGGGUGCUGGAGGACCUCCAAGACGACUUUUGGGGUCUUGGAGGUCCUCCAAGGUUUCUUAUAGGGUCUUUUAGGGACUUUUAGGAUCUUUUAGGAUCUUUUAGGGUCUUGUAGGGUCUUUUAGGAUCUUUUAGGGUGUUGGAGGACCUCCAAGAUGGUUUUUGGGGUCUUGGAGGUCCUCCAAGGUUUCUUUUAGGGUCUUUUAGGAUCUUUUAGGGUUUGUUAGGGUCUUUGGGGUCUUGGAGGUCCUCCAAGAUUUCUUUUAGGGUCUUUUAGGUUCUUUUAGGAUCUUUCAGGUUCUUUUAGGGUCUUUUAGGAUCUUUCAGGUUCUUUUAGGAUCUUUCAGGUUCUUUUCGGGUCUUUUAGGAUCUUUCAGGUUCUUUUAGGAUCUUUUAGGGUCUUUCAGGAUCUUUUAGGAUCUUUCAGGUUCUUUUAGGAUCUUUUAGGAUCUUUCAGGUUCUUUUAGGAUCUUUUAGGAUCUUUCAGGAUCUUUUAGGAUCUUUUAGGGUCUUUUAGGGUCUUUGGGGUCUUGGAGGUCCUCCAAGAUUUCUUUUAGGGUCUUUUAGGAUCUUUCAGGUUCUUUUAGGUUCUUUUAGGAUCUUUCAGGUUCUUUUAGGAUCUUUUAGGAUCUUUCAGGUUCUUUUAGGGUCUUUUAGGUUCUUUUAGGGUCUUUGGGGUCUUUUAGGGUCUUUGGGGUCUUGGAGGUCCUCCAAGAUUUCUUAUAGGGUCUUUUAGGUUCUUUUAGGAUCUUUUAGGUUCUUUUAGGAUCUUUCAGGUUCUUUUAG